CAGUAGCCGCGGUAAAACGUAGGUGGCAAGCGUUGUCCGGAAUUAUUGGGCGUAAAGCGCGCGCAGGUGGUUUAAUAAGUCUGAUGUGAAAGCCCACGGCUCAACCGUGGAGGGUCAUUGGAAACUGUUAAACUUGAGUGCAGGAGAGAAAAGUGGAAUUCCUAGUGUAGCGGUGAAAUGCGUAGAGAUUAGGAGGAACACCAGUGGCGAAGGCGGCUUUUUGGCCUGUAACUGACACUGAGGCGCGAAAGCGUGGGGAGCAAACAGGAUUAGAUACCCCUGUAGUCCCUGUCUCUUAUAA
rnacentral:rRNA from 1 species